UACGAAGGGGGCUAGCGUUGCUCGGAAUCACUGGGCGUAAAGCGCGCGUAGGCGGUUCGGAAAGUCGGAUGUUAAAACCCGGAGCUCAACUCCGGGCCUGCAUCCGAUACUCCCGGACUAGAGGUAGGUAGGGGAGAUCGGAAUUCCUGGUGUAGCGGUGAAAUGCGCAGAUAUCAGGAGGAACACCGGUGGCGAAGGCGGGUCUCUGGGCCGAUACUGACGCUGAGGAGCGAAAGCGUGGGGAGCGAACAGG
rnacentral:rRNA from 1 species